UCGAGAAUUUUUGACAAUGGGGGCAACCCUGAUCGAGCGACGCCGCGUGGAGGAUGAAGGUCUUCGGGUUGUAAACUCCUGUCAUUUGGGAACAAGCGGCUCACGUUAACUGCGUGAGUCUUGAUAGUACCAGAAGAGGAAGGGACGGCUAACUCUGUGCCAGCAGCCGCGGUAAUACAGAGGUCCCAAGCGUUGUUCGGAUUCAUUGGGCGUAAAGGGUGCGUAGGUGGCGUCGUAAGUCAGGUGUGAAAUUUCGGAGCUUAACUCCGAAACUGCAUUUGAUACUGCGGUGCUUGAGGACUGGAGAGGAGACUGGAAUUUACGGUGUAGCAGUGAAAUGCGUAGAGAUCGUAAGGAAGACCAGUGGCGAAGGCGGGUCUCUGGACAGUUCCUGACACUGAGGCACGAAGGCCAGGGGAGCAAACGGGAUUAGAUACCCCCGUAGUCC
rnacentral:rRNA from 1 species